rnacentral:rRNA from 1 species
UACGGGGGGGGCAAGCGUUGUUCGGAAUUACUGGGCGUAAAGGGCUCGUAGGUGGCCAACUAAGUCAGACGUGAAAUCUCUCAGCUUAACUGGGGAACUGCGUCUGAUACUGGAUGGCUUGAGAUUGGGAGAGGGAUGCGGAAUUCCAGGUGUAGCGGUGAAUGCGUAGAUAUCUGGAGGAACACCGGUGGCGAAGGCGGCAUCCUGGACCAACACUGACACUGAGGAGCGAAAGCCAGGGGAGCAAACGGG